GGGGGGAUAACUGCGCGAAAGCGUUGCUAAUACCGCAUACGACCUACGGGUGAAAGCAGGGGACCGCAAGGCCUUGCGUCGAUGGAGCGGCCGAUGCCGGAUUAGCUAGUUGGUGAGGUAAAGGCUUACCAAGGCGACGAUCCCGUAGCUGGUCUGAGAGGACGACCAGCCACACUGGGACUGAGACACGGCCCAGACUCCUACGGGAGGCAGCAGUGGGGAAUCUUGGACAAUGGGCGCAAGCCUGAUCCAGCAAUGCCGCGUGUGGGAAGAAGGCCUUCGGGUUGUAAACCACUUUUGGCAGGAAAGAAAUCGUCCGGGUUAAUACCCUGGAUGGAUGACGGUACCUGCAGAAUAAGCACCGGCUAACUACGUG
rnacentral:rRNA from 1 species